CGCGUAGGCGGUCUGUUAAGUUCGGUGUGAAAGCCCCCGGCUUACCCGGGGAGCUGCGCCGGAAACCGACAGACUCGAGUACCGGAGAGGAGGGUGGAAUUCCUGGUGUAGCGGUGAAAUGCGUAGAUAUCAGGAGGAACACCGGUGGCGAAGGCGGCCCUCUGGACGGAUACUGACGCUGAGGCGCGAAAGCGUGGGGAUCAAACA
rnacentral:rRNA from 1 species